rnacentral:sRNA from 1 species
GCUGGGUGUGGUGGCGCAUGCCUGUGAUCCCAGUGGCUUGGGAGGCUGAGGUAGGAGGGUCUUGAGUUCAAAACCAGCCUCAGCAACUUAGUGAGGGCCUGAGCAACUUGGUUAGACCCUGUCUCAA